rnacentral:rRNA from 1 species
AGAGUUUGAUCCUGGCUCAGAUUGAACGCUGGCGGCAGGCCUAACACAUGCAAGUCGAGCGGAUGACGGGAGCUUGCUCCUUGAUUCAGCGGCGGACGGGUGAGUAAUACCUAGGAAUCUGCCUGAUAGUGGGGGACAACGUUUCGAAAGGAACGCUAAUACCGCAUACGUCCUACGGGAGAAAGCAGGGGACCUUCGGGCCUUGCGCUAUCAGAUGAGCCUAGGUCGGAUUAGCUAGUUGGUGAGGUAAUGGCUCACCAAGGCGACGAUCCGUAACUGGUCUGAGAGGAUGAUCAGUCACACUGGAACUGAGACACGGUCCAGACUCCUACGGGAGGCAGCAGUGGGGAAUAUUGGACAAUGGGCGAAAGCCUGAUCCAGCCAUGCCGCGUGUGUGAAGAAGGUCUUCGGAUUGUAAAGCACUUUAAGUUGGGAGGAAGGGCAGUAAGCUAAUACCUUGCUGUUUUGACGUACCGACAGAAUA